GAAAGCUCCGGGCUUAACUUCGGAGAUGUCGUUCAAUACUGCGGGGCUUGAGGACAGCAGAGGAAGGUGGAAUUCCCGGUGUAGUGGUGAAAUGCGUAGAUAUCGGGAGGAACACCCGUGGCGAAGGCGGCCUUCUGGGCUGUUCCUGACGCUGAAGGCGAAAGCUAGGGGAGCGAACGGGAUUAGAUACCCCGGUAGUCCUAGCUGUAAACGAUGGAUGCUGGGUGUGGGGGGUGUAAAUUCCCUCUGUGCCGAAGCAAACGCGUUAAGCAUCCCGCCUGGGGACUACGGCCGCAAGGCUAAAACUCAAACGAAUUGACGGGGGCCCGCACAAGCAGCGGAGCGUGUGGUUUAAUUCGAUGCUACACGAAGAACCUUACCUGGGUUUGACAUGCACGUGGUAGGGAACCGAAAGGGGACCGACCUUCGGGAGCGUGCACAGGUGCUGCAUGGCUGUCGUCAGCUCGUGCCGUGAGGUGUCGGGUUAGGUCCCGUAACGAGCGCAACCCCUGCCCUUAGUUACAAGUGUCUAAGGGGACUGCCCGGGACAACUGGGAGGAAGGUGGGGAUGACGUCAAGUCAGCAUGGCCUUUAUAUCCAGGGCUACACACACGCUACAAUGGCCGGUACAAUAGGUUGCGAAGUCGUGAGGCGGAGCCAAUCCUCAAAGCCGGUCUCAGUUCGAAUUGCAGUCUGCAACUCGACUGCAUGAAGCUGGAGUUGCUAGUAAUCGCAGGUCAGCUAUACUGCGGUGAUACGUUCCCGGGCCUUGUACACACCGCCCGUCACGUCAUGGAAGCUGGCAACGCCUGAAGCCGGUGAGCUAACCCGAAAGGGAGCAGCCGUCGAGGGUGGGGCUGUAACUGGGACGAAGU
rnacentral:rRNA from 1 species